UAUUAAGUAAUUAAGCGCACAUGAUGGAUGCCUAGGCAGCCAUAAACUAUGAAAGACGUUAUAGCCUGCGAUAAGCUUCGGGGAAAUGGCAUAUAAUUUAUGAUCCGACGAUGUCUGAAUGGGGAAACCUAUCGAUUUUUAUCGAUGUUUACAAAUAAAAACAUAGUUUGUAUUCGAUAACCGAGAGAACUGAAACAUCUAAGUAUCUCGAGGAAAAUAUAUCAAAAGAUAUUCCCUUAGUAGUGGCGAGCGAAUGGGGAAAAGUCCUAAAAAUAAUAUAUUAUUUUUAAUAUUAAUUAUUUUUGAUAAAUUAAUUGUUUGGAAUAACAAACCAUAGAAGGUGAUAGUCCUGUAAUUAAAAUCAAUUUAUUAUUAAAUUGAGUAUAUUGGGACACGUGUAAUCCUGAUAGAAUAUGGGGGGACCAUCCUCCAAGACUAAAUAUUUAUGGUUGACCGAUAGUGAACUAGUACCGUGAGGGAAAGGUGAAAAGUACCCCUGUUAGGGCAGUGAAAUAGAUCCUGAAAUCAUGUGCGUACAAGCAGUAGUAGCAAUAUAAUUUAAUAAUAUAUAUUAUUUAUGUGACUGCGUACCUUUUGUAUAAUGGGUCAGCGACUUAUUUUCGGUAGCUAGCUUAACUAUAUAAGGUAGGCAUAGGGAAACCGAGUCUAAAAUGGGCAAUAAAGUUUUCGAAAAUAGACCCGAAACCGGGCGAUCUAUCCAUGAGCAGGUUGAAAGUUGAGUAAUAUUAACUGAAGGACCGAACCGGGAUCUGUUGAAAAAGAUUCGGAUGACUUGUGGAUAGGAGUGAAAGGCUAAUCAAGCUCGGAGAUAGCUGGUUCUCCUCGAAAGCUAUUUAGGUAGCGCCUUACAUAUCUUCGUUGGGGGUAUAGCACUGUUUCGACUAAGGGGUCAUACCGACUUACUAAAUCGAUGCAAACUUAAAAUACCAGCGAUUGCAAUGUGGGAGACACACUAUGGGUGCUAACAUCCUUAGUGGAAAGGGAAACAACCCAGAUCGUCAGCUAAGGUCCCUAAAUUAUGGUUAAGUGGAAAACGAUGUAAGAAGGCAUAAACAGCUAGGAGGUUAGCUUAGAAGCAGCUAUCCUUUAAAGAAAGCGUAAUAGCUCACUAGUCUAGUCAACUUGCGCGGAAGAUAUAACGGGGCUUAAAUCAUAUACCGAAGCUACGAGUUUAAUAAUAAAAUUUUUAAUAUUUAUAUUUUUAUUAUUGAGCGGUAGAGGAGCGUUGUGUAAAUCUUAGAAGGUUUAUUGUAAAUUAAACUGGAGAUAUCACAAGUGCGAAUGCUGACAUGAGUAACGAUAAGGAAGUUGAAAAUACUUCCCGCCGUAAAACCAAGGAUUUCUGUUCAACGUUAAUCGAAACAGAGUUAGUCGGUACCUAAGAUGAGGCGGAAACGCGUAUUUAAUGGAAAACAGAUUAAUAUUUCUGUACCAUAUAUUAUUUACGAUUGGGGUGACUAAGAAAGCUAGGCUAGCCUGUUUUUGGUUUACAGGUUAAAAUAAAUAGAUUUAAAAGUUAGUAAAAUACGGCUUUUUUAUUAAAUUGAGAUAUUAUAAUAAUAAAAUUUUUAUGUUUUAAAAAUAGUUUAUGCUAUACUUACAAGAAAAACCCCUAAGAAAUAUGUAAUAUAUGACCGUACCUUAAACCGACACAGGUGGUUAAGUAGAGAAUACUAAGGCGCUUGAGAGAACUCGGGUAAAGGAACUAGGCAAAAUGACACCGUAACUUCGGAAGAAGGUGUGCUGAAUAAUUGUAAAAUUCUAAAGUUAUCAAAUUAAGCAAUAAUCAGUCGAAGAUACCAGGUGGUUGCAACUGUUUAUUAAAAACACAGCACUCUGCUAACGCGUAAGCGGAUAUAUAGGGUGUGACGCCUGCCCGGUGCCGGAAGGUUAAUUGAUAUAGUUAGUUUUUUUAUAAAAACAAAGCUGUUGAUUGAAGCCCCGGUAAACGGCGGCCGUAACUAUAACGGUCCUAAGGUAGCGAAAUUCCUUGUCGGGUAAGUUCCGACCUGCACGAAUGGCGUAAUGAUAGCCACACUGUCUCUAUCCGAGACUCAGUGAAAUUGAAAUUGCUGUGAAGAUGCAGUAUUCCCGCGACUAGACGGAAAGACCCCGUGAACCUUUACUAUAACUUCAUAUUGAAUAUUUAUUUUAUUUGUGUAGUAUAGCUGGUAGAUAAUGAAUCAAAAAUGCUAGUUUUUGUUGAAUCAAAAUUGAAAUACCAGCCUAAUAGAAUUGAUAUUCUAAUUUUAUACCGUUAUCCGGUAUAAAUACAGUGUGUGGUGGAUAGUUUGACUGGGGCGGUCUCCUCCUAAAGAGUAACGGAGGAGCACAAUGGUACCCUCAAUACGUUUAGAAAUCGUAUUAUGAGUGUAAGAGCAUAAGGGUGCUUAACUGCGAGACAUACACGUCGAGCAGAUACGAAAGUAGGUUCUAGUGAUCCGGUGGUUCUGUAUGGAAAGGCCAUCGCUCAACGAAUAAAAGGUACUCCGGGGAUAACAGGCUAAUACCGCCCAAGAGUUCACAUCGACGGCGGUGUUUGGCACCUCGAUGUCGGCUCAUCACAUCCUGGGGCUGCAGUAGGUCCCAAGGGUAUGGCUGUUCGCCAUUUAAAGUGGUACGCGAGCUGGGUUUAGAACGUCGUGAGACAGUUCGGUCCCUAUCUGUCGUGGGCGUUGGAAGUUUGAGAAGAGCUGCUCCUAGUACGAGAGGACCGGAGUGGAUGAACCUCUGAUGUUCCGGUUGUUAUGCCAAUAGCAUUGCCGGGUAGUUAUGUUCAGACAAGAUAACCGCUGAAAGCAUAUAAGCAGGAAACUUACUUCAAGAUAAGACUUCCCAGAAAAGAUAUUUUCUUUUCCUAAAGGACCCUUAAAUACUAUGAGGUAGAUAGGCAUGAUGUAUAAUAACAGUAAUGUUUUCAGCUAACGUGUACUAAUUUGUCCGUGAGACUUUAUAAU
rfam:Candidatus Evansia muelleri genome assembly, chromosome: I